rnacentral:rRNA from 1 species
CAUGCAUGUCUUAGAAGUAUAAUAGGAGGCGAUCCAUAAAUCUGCGAACGGCUCCGUAUAUCUGUUAUCACCCACGGCCACUAAAAAGAUCUCGGAUACCCACGGUAAUUCUGAGGCUAAUACGUAUACGUAGCUUGGGCCUCCAGGACAGGGCGCCCUCCGCAAGGGGGGCGCCUGGGCUAGUCGCUUGUUGCCGGGGGGUCCCGCAAGGGGUCCGCUGUCAUGAUGGCAGGCUAGUGCACCACACUGCGGGGGCGAUAUGUCCCGUAGGGUGCGCCAAGGGAGCCAGCCCUAUUAACUAGGUGUCCGGGUAAGGCCCGGCCGCGGUGAUAACGGGUACAGAGGAUCAGGGUUCGGUCCUGGAGAGGAAGCCUGAGAGAUCGCUUCUACUUCUAAGGAAGGCAGCAGGCACGCAACGUUCCCAAUGGGGAUACCCUGAGGACGUGAGGGGAUAUAGCAAUGCCCCGCCCAUAAAGCGGGGCAAUUGCAAUGGGGGUCCACUAAACCCUCCACCGAGUAACAAUUGGAG